AGUGUUUGUACCAGCUCUUCUUUGUAUGUCUGUUAGAAUUUGGCUGUGAAUUCACCGGAUCUGGGCCUUUUAUGAAAAAUCUUCAUGGAGUGGCAAAAGUUGUUUACCUGAAGCUCACAAGAUGUAUCCAGAAAAUAUCACCAGGGAUCAGAUCAAGCCUGACCCCCAUUUUACAUCUUCUGUAACCAGAAGCACUCCAAGAACAACACUUUCAUUCAUGGACUUAACAACUACAUUAGAUCAUACCAGCCUGUCACUUCAAAGUCACCAGUGUCAAGGAACAUUUCAAAUUGGCUUAAAGCAUUGUUUUGGAGGUGUGAAUAAUGAAGCCAAGGACAUUAGCAACAUCAUGAAAGCAGGCUAUUCAAAUGCUCAUUCUACAUUGAAAUCAGCAUGGAAUGUGUAAUAACAGGAAAGAGAAAUAUACAGACUCUCUGUGCUUGGCAUGGCAAUGUGUCACGUGGCUUGAAAAGGCAUCAAGUGAAUAGAGAAGAUUCUAUGGAUGUAGAAGAGGUCCCUGGGUUUCCGAAUUGCCACUGGAUUGCCUCUAUCAAAUACACAAGAGUUUCAUGAUCACAGGGGACCCAAGAUUCUUGGACAGAAUUCUCGCCGGGAGCCAACUCAGCCUGAUCUGCUGGCAUCUCUCAAGUAUCAGAAGUCAACAAAAUGGUUUGCCUUGAAGACUUGGCCAGAGCAGCAGCCAAAGUUCAUAAGGCUUUCGUAGAGAGAUUGUUUGUCUAAGAAAACAAAAUUCUAAGGGCUCCCAUUGUGCAGCUGGGGUGGCAAAAUGCAAACUAAUAUAAGGAAAAAAAAUGCUUUUCAUUUCCAUGGAAGAAAUGACCCAUCCUAUUGUUGAUAUUUCCUUUUCUGUGCUAACUUAUUCCAUUAAUUAGGCUCUCGUUUUAUGAGAUAAUUUCACUGCAUGCGUAUCUUCUUUUGGUUAUUACACAAGGACUGUUUUCUAUGGUUCAUAUCUAAGUCCAACCCUGGAAAAAUCUUUUUUUUUGAGACAGCCUUUUUUGUUUUGUUUUGAGACAAUACUCCCUCUGUUGCCCAGGCUGGAAUGCAGUGGUGAGAUCAUAGCUCACUGCAACUUCUGCCUCCUAGGCUCAAAAAAUCCUCCCACCUCAGCCUCCCAAGUAGCUGGGAUUGCAGGCAUAUGCCAUCACACCCGGCUAAUUUUUGGAUUUUUAGUAAAGUUUUGCCAUGUUGGCCAGGCUGAUCUUGAACUCCUGCCCUCAAGUGAUCUGCCCACCUUGACCUCCCAAAGUGCUGGGAUUACAGGUGUGAGCUACUGUGCUCAGCUCAGCCAUGGAACAAUCUUGAUGUAUAAUUUAUCUGCAGGUAUCUCCAUCUCUAUUUGCCACUCUUAGUAAAUGUUUUAGUUUGACAGUAAACGAGUUGAGACAUUAAUGAUUGAGAGAGCACCUAAGCAGCUCGAAGUGCUGGGAGUCUCUCCUAAAGAAUUAGAUGCACACAGCAUUUUUCCCUUACAGACACUUCACUGAGCAGUCAUGUUGGACUUGGGUGGCGUCUGCUAUUAGACACACUAUUCACCAAUAAAACCCUGAAAAUUGCAUUGCACAGGACUGAUAAAAAUAAGAUGACUUAAGAAACGUAUUUAUGGUAUAUAUACACAGAAAAAGAAUGAAAGUUUGAGGGGGUAUUGCCUCUGGGAGGAAGAGUUAUGAGUAGUUUGUAUUUCCUUUUUUGUUAAUCUGUAUUUCAUUUUUUAGGCAAUGCAAAUAUAUUAUUUAGACAACAAAAUACUUAUUAGAAAGAAAAGACAUGGUGGGUUUUUUCCCCUUUAUUCUUUGCUUUUCUAAGAGGAAACUUUGACUGCAAUUGCUUGUGAGUGAUACCUGUGUUCUGGUAGCUUAGGAAGACACAAUGUGGUUAGGGAAGGAUAAGAACAGAUGGCUUUAAUAAAUGUACUCAAGGCUAAUGUACCCUUCAUAGUCUCAGGCUUCAGAUCAGAUCUCUUAUCUAUGCUGGCACCAGGAUGUGGUUUUGAGUUCUCUGCUUUUUCUACAGCUUUAGGGAAAUCUGCAUGCAGGCACAUCUAAUUGUCCAAACCAAAAAUCACAUCCAGGAUGUGAGGCAGCCUGGGAGAGGUCAUUUUGAGUUCUGUAGUCUCCGAAGUAUAAAAACACAUAAACAUGUAUACAUACACACAUUAACACCCACACACUUUUGAAGGAAGAUGGAAUGGAAGACAAGCACCACAGUGAAACUUUAGAAGAAUUUCCCUUACAUUCAGGAAAAAAAGAUAGAGGGUCCAUUUUCAUCACUCUUAUUGCCAUUGUCUAGAAGAUAAGCCGUAAUAAGAUAAAAUAAAAAGUGUAUAGAACACUUGGAAAAAAAUAUAAAAGAUUGGUCCCAUUCUCCGAUGGCAUGAUAUUCAAAUGAAGAACCAACUAUAAACAGGUUGUUAUGAGCUGAAUGUUAAUGUGACCCCAAAAUUCAUAUGCUGAAAUCUUAACCCCAAAGGUGAUAGUGUUAGAUGGUGAGGCUUUUAGGAGUUGACACAGUGUAAUGCCUCUUCUAUGAAGAAGUGGGCCUUUGUCAGUUACCAAAUCUGCAGAGGCCUUGAUCUUGAACUUCCCAGCCUCCAGAGCUUGGAGGAAUGAAUGUUUAUUGUUUGUAAACCACCCAGUUUAUGGUAUUUUAUUAGAGCUGCUCAAAGGGUCUAAGACACAAGUAUAAGUCAUAAGUAAAUGCAUCAAAUUUGCUGAAUAUAAAUCAACAUAUAAAAAAUCAACAGCAUGCUUGGAUCCCUGGUAUGAAUCACAUCUGGUCAUGGCAAAUAAUCUAAAAAAAAAUAAUAAAAUAAUCAAUUUAAAAAAUUUAAAAAGCAACAGUAUUUACUAUUCAUUGCCAAUGACCAAUUAGAAAAUGGCAUAAACAUGACAUCUGUGAUAAGACAAAUACUCUAAGGUAACUAGAACUACAAGUAAUAAAAGAUGUGUACAGUUUACAGAGACGAUUGUAGAAAGCCAAAAAAAAUUAAAAGUGAAAACCUAAAUGGGAAGAAGCAUCAUGUAUAUUGGGUCAUAGUAGAUAUCAUAAUAUAAAUUAUAAAAUACAGAACAAAAUGAUAUAAAAUACUAAAUUUCAAAAUGUGUUGGAUAUAGCUAAAGCAGCACUAAAGAGGAAUUUAUAGGUUUAAAUACACGUAUUGGGGGAGGAAAGAGAUAAAGUUUGAUAUGGCGGUAAGCAUCCACUUAGGGAAAAGUACAAAAAGAAAAUAAUAGUAGAAAGUAAUAAAAUAGAAAAUAUAAAAGAGGUUUUUUAAAAAAUACUUACAAAAUGGACAGUCUUUAUGGGGAUUGAACAAGAACAAAGAAAGAAGGCACUGAUAACCAAUGUCAAGGAUAUGGAAGUGGAUAUGUGGAUAUAACUAAAAUGCUGCAGUUAUUCGAGAUAAGAGUAUUAUAAGUAACUGUAAGAUAACACAUUUAAAAACUUGGUCGAAAUGGUCAAAUUUGUAGAAAAGUAUAUCUCAACAAAACUGAUUCAAGAAAAAUAACCCAUUAAAAAAUAAAUCAGCAGUUACCUUUUAUUUAUUUAUUUUUGACAAGAAAAUAUCAAAUGGUUUUACUGGCAAGAUCUGCCAAAUAUUCAAGAAACAAGUAAUUUCAAUUUUGGACAGAAUUUUCCAGAGAAGAGAAAAUGGGAAGAGGGUUGUUCCUCAUUUUAUGAAGCUAGUAUACACAUCAGUGCCAACAUUUGACAAGGGAAGUUUGAAAAAGGAAAAUCACCGACUAAUCUCUCCCAUGAGCAGAGACUUAAAAAAUUCUAAACAAAAUAUUUGCCAACCAAAUCCGAAUAUAGAAAGGAUUGUACACCAUGAUCAAGUUGAGCUCAUCCUAGGAAUGUUUCCUUUAUGGUAACAUUCGGGAAAGCAAAAUACAUGGGUGCACAUGCAAGAGGUAGGAGAUUGAGACUGGGAGUCUGUAGAACUUCUGAUUUCAUCCAUUUUUUGCAAGUGAAUUAGAUUUUCUUUAAAAAGGUUAUUGGGUGAAGGCGCAGAUAGAGGAGCAGGUCUUGGAGAUUUAAGGGGAAAGGAAGUAUGAUACAGUCUUCUAGAAGACUGGAAGAGUAAAUGGAAUAUAGCGUGAUUGCAUUGGGGCUCCUCUGAGCUUUAUGGGCAUGAAUUUAAAGAUUAUUUGAGGCCCUGGUUUGUGCAGUAAGAAAAAUUUUGUUUAGGGAUUAGGAAGGAAGAAAUAAAACUAAAAAUCUCCCAUUAUUCACAGAUGACAUGAUGAUUCUUAUAGAAAACCCAAAAGAUAUUACUACAUCAAUAUAGAAAACUCAAUUACAUUUCUUUAUUUUUCUUUUUCUUUUCUUUUUUUUUUUUUUUUGCUUUAAGUUCUAGGAUACAUGUGCAGAACGUGCGGGUUUGUUACAUAGGUAUACAUGUGCCACGGUGGUUUCCUGCACCUAUCAACCCGUCAUCUAGGUUUUAAGCCCAGAAUGCAUUAGGUAUUUGUCCUAAAACUCUCCCUCCCCUUCCCCUACUCCCCCCAACAGGCCCUGGUAUGUGAUGUUACCCUCCCUGUGUCCCUGUGUUCUCAAUGUUCAACUCCUACUUAUGAGUGAGAACAUGCGGUGUUUGGUUUUCUGUUUCUGUGUUAGUUUGCUGAGGAUGAUGGUUUCCAGCUUCAGCCAUGUCGCUGCAAAGGACAUUAACUCAUUCGUUUUUCUGGCUGCAUAGUAUUCCAUGGUGUGUAGGCGCCACGUUUUCUUUAUCCAGUCUGUCAUUGAUGGGCAUUUGGGUUGGUUCCAAGUCUUUGCUAUUGCAAAUAGUGCUGCAAUAAACAUAUGUGUGCAUGUGUCUUUAUAGAAUGAUUUAUAAUGCUUUGGGUAUAUACCCAGUAAUGGGAUUGCUGGGUCAAAUGGUAUUUCUGGUUCUAGAUCCUUGAGGAAUCACCACACUUUCUUCCAUAAUGGUUGAACGAAUUUACACUCCCACCAACCAUGUAAAAGCAUUCCUAUUUCUCCAUGUCCUCACCAGCAUCUGUUGUUUCCAGACUUUUAAAUGAUCAUCAUUCUUACUGGCAUGAUAUGGUAUCUCAUUGUGAUUUUGAUUUGCAUUCCUCUAAUGGCCAGUGAUGAGUUUUUCUUAUGUUUUCUGGCCGCAUAAAUGUCUUCUUUUGAGAAGUGUCUGUUCAUAUCAUUCACCCACUUUUUAAUGGUUUUUUUCUUGUAAAUUUAAGUUCCUUGUAGAUUCUGGAUAUUAGACCUUUGUCAGAUGGAUAGAUCGCAAAAAUUUUCUCCAAUUCUGUAGGUUGCGUGUUCACUCUGAUGAUAGUUUCUUUUGCUGCGCAGAAGCUCUUCAGUUUAAUUAGAUCCCAUGUGCCAAUUUUGGCAUUUUUUGAAAAUGCUUUUGGUGUUUUAGUCAUGAAGUCUUUGCCCAUGCCUAUGUCCUGAAUGGUAUUGCCUAGGUUUUCUUCUAGGGUUUUUAUGGUUUUAGGUUUUAUGUUUAAGUGUAAGGAGGGAUACAUUUAAGCCAAAAAGGACAGUCUACAUCUCUGCUUAUUGUCCCAAGGCAGCAGAAAUACAAUUCAUAGAUCCCAACACUUAGCCUUCCCCACCCUAGUCACACAGCAUCCCUCAGCCUGCCAAGGGAAUUGGUUCUGCAGACACGAGGGAUUUGCCCGGGGAUAAAGACCCCUUCUGGUUCAGACAUCAGGAGAUACAAAUGCAAUACACCACAGCUGACACAACUGGACAUCUUCAGUGUUGCAGUCUCACCCUAUCUCUCUGCUUGCCAGCUCCAGCUCAUCGGGCCAGUUAUGAGAAGGAAAACAUAUUUUCUAAAAGCUUUCUUAAGUGUUCACAUGGCCAGCUGCCCUUGUUUGUUCUCCUGAGUACUGAGGUCACUGGAAGCCACAAAACCCAGCUGGGACCACUUCAAUGAGUUAUGCUCCAGGGAAAAUUAUGGUGUGAAAAGGUAAAAGGAAAUUUUGGAAACUGGUGGAAUCUUCAUGGAAGUGUCACCCUGGGCUAAUACCAAGGAUCUGACAUAGACAAAAGUAUGAAUUACUCUGCAGGCUCAGCGCCAAGGGCAAGGUCGUAAGAGCCUGAGAUGGUCUUAACAAAUUAAGUGAGGCAGGCAAAGUUCAGUUGCUUACUGUGAGCUGGACCCUUCUACAUUAUUAUUUUUAUCAUGGAGUCCAAUGUCCCCAUGUUGAUCCUAACAAGCCAAGUCCCACAUUGCAUCAUCCCACAUGGGCCGGCCUUCUCUGGGCAAAACUUCAAGAUGUGAAACUCCUUUUUUCUCCUCUCAAAAUGUGCCAGUCCUGAGUCUCCUGUAUUGGGUUCAUUAAUGUUAACAUACUUUUUCUGGUCUGCUACAAUGAUCCAGGCACUGCACUAUAGUCCAAAGGCACAAAACAAUAAAUUAGACUUGCCCCUUGUUCUCAGGACUGAAAAUGGUUCCAUUCACCAAAAAAACAGGUGAAAGUUUACCCAGCACCUAAACCUGUACUAAUGUAUUAAUUAAUGCAUCACAGUUUAUUUAUUCUACACUUAUUUUACUUGCCCCUGUAAUAUACCACUAGAUGCUUCAGUAUGGGAGAUAUUGAACUCUAAAGUUCUAAGGGUGCUGUGGUGGAGAUAUGGACAUAUCUCAAAAUUAGCAGGAAAUUUAAAUAGCGAUUUUAAGAGAAAGUAAGAUCUGGUUAUGAGAAAGGAUGAAGCUACUCUGGGUGAGAGAAAACUGAGAACUAUGCCCUAGGAAUAUCCAACAUUUAAAGUGUAAACAAAGAAAGUAAAGACAGAGAUGACAACUGAGAAAGAGUGGUAGUCACAGGAGACUCAAGUGAGUGUAGCUGGAAGAUGUCAUCAGAACCCUAGUUAAUAACAUGUGGUCUACCAUUGCUACAAUACAAUGCCCUCCAGCCAUCUCAGGCAGGUGGGCCUUUACUUUCCUCAAAUUACAUUCACAGAUGAACAACCCAUGCUCUAUGAAGGAGUCGGGCCUGCAUACUAUCCUUCCCAAUGAGGGAGAUGUGACAGUUCAGGAUUCAGGAAAGGACCAAAUGGACUCACCAGGCAAGUGUGCUUUAGGAUGGAGGGCAGGGUUGGCUCUGUGCCAGGAGUGUAGAUUUCAUCUGUUGGCUGCAAAUGUGUGCCAGUUCCCAAUGGAAUGCUACUGUUCUCUGACCUGCCCUCAACUCAUAACACAAGUCACAAUUCACUGGAGUUUCACAGUACGUUUCUGUGGAUGUUUGGAAUCAGAAAUGCAGACUCACAGAAUAGCUGUAUAGGAUUUAAAGAGAAUCGGCAGAGUUCAGGCUGCUCAUUUUACAGAGGAGGAGGCUGAGUCUGAAGACUUACUAAUUUGGCCAGGGUUGCAUGGCAGUUUAGCAGAGUAGUUAAACAAAUGGGCUUGAAACUCAAAGAGUCCCUGAGAAUCUUAAAUUGUGUGCCUUAGGCAAGUCUGCUAAAACUGCUAUGUCUCAGUUAACUCCUCUUAAAACUGAGUAAGAAUAACAUAUAUAUAUAUAUAUCAUAUAUUAUGAUACAUGAUAUAUACAUAAUUCAUGUAUUAUAUCAUGAUACAUGAUAUAUAUGUAUUAUUCAUGUAUAUGAUACAUGAUACAUAUAUCAUGUAACCUAUGAUAUAUAUCAUAUAUGAAGAUUAUAUAUAUAUCUCAGAGGUUAUUUGUAAGAGAUGAGAUAGUGAAUUCAAAGCACUUAGCAUGACAGCUAGCAUAUGGUGACACAGCUAUCAUGCAAAGCCAAGUCUUCUGACUCGUACUUUAGUGCUCUUUCCUCUGAACCAUGAUCCCUCCUUUAAAUAGAGAAGUUAAAAAUGAACUUACAGAGACAUUCUAUGUGUACCAACCCAACACUAUAGCACUUGAUUUAUGCAUUCAUUUUUAUAACAACUAUCAUUUGAGCAUCUAUGUACCAGGGUGCUGAUGUAACCAUGCUGAGUGCUGAGGUACUCAUGCUGAAUCAGAUGUGAUCUCUUCCCACUAAGGAGAGAGAAGAUUGUGCCUAUGGUAGCCAGGAAUGAGGUGCACUUGCAAGGAGUAGGGAGGAGUGGGGAGAGUCUAGAGGCAAGGAGAUGAGAUAGAAAGUUCUUGCCCUAAUUUAGGCAAGAGGCAGCAGGGUCCUGAAUUACCUUGGAGAAAAUGGAAAUUAGGGGAAAGGACAAAGAAAUGAGGUAGGAACAUGAGACUUACCCUUGACACAUGAUUAUUAUGUUUAUGAAAUAUUUGUUUUUGUGUUUCUGACAAGCAAUUUGCCUCCAGAAUUGCCAAAUGAGUCUGGUUGUUACUCCAGACUCAAGGUAACAUCUGCUUAUUGCUAGUGCAUAGACCAGGGCAGGUGAUGGGCUUUAGGCCUCUUAUCUAGCGUCUUACACAAAAUUGCAAGUAGACCCAGAAUUACUAGUGCCAGGGCUGCAGAAAUAGGAACUGUUUAGCCAGGUCUAUGACCAUCUGUUUUCCCUCCUGCCAAAUGCAUCGAGGGCAUGAUAGAUCUGGCUUAGAUGGUAACAAAGUGAGAGCAGAGUUGAGCAAAUAGACAAAUGUUUAUCUUUUGCAGGAAUGUGCACUUGGCUCUGGGGAUUGUAGCUGUCCAUCAGCAUCCACACUGGAUGAAACUGCUGAAGGAAGGGGCUCCGAAAACACCCACUUUCCUCAGCCUCUGCGGCCUUAACUCCAUGUGCCAGCAGGUCAGGCUAACAGGCUGUGGUGCUAAAGGCAUCAGGCAGACAUAUCUACUGGCCCAUUAAGAUUCUGUACCUAAACACUACCCACCCCGCCCACCCUGCCCCAGUGAUGGCCCUGCCUUUCCUGCCAGGCCUGCUCUCCUCCCCAAGAAAGGGAAAAUGGUUAGCAACUUUCAGAAACUAAAACAAACACAAAAGUUUGCCAACAUUAAACUCUGCUUCACAGCUAAAUGGACCAUAAACUUUCAGCACCUUGAACAAAACUUCAAUUCAAUCCCUUCUACAGGUGCUGUGGGCACAAAGACUGCACAGUGUAUUUUUGCCCUGGGAAAGAGUCUCAAAUUAUUAUUUUUGUAAAAAAAAAAAAAAAAAGAAAAGAAAAAGUUGCCUGGAAAAAAGUUUCAUUUUGUGCUUAGAAAAACAAGCCAAGAGGCAACGCACACCCCCUUUCUCUCCAUUCUCACUUCCCUGCACUCUCACGAGAAGAUUCCAGCCCACCUUGAAACCCAGCAUGGAUACUAGAGAAGACAUCUUUUUCUCCAGUUUUCAAAUAAGCCUCCAGGAUGAGGCACACGCAGACCUUUCCUGCUAGCCUGUAAUUCACCACCUUCUAAAAGGACCAGGUCAUGAUACAAAUGAAAGCAAUGAAAAGCACAGGCCUGCAUGCCCAAGGUCUGAGUCUUGCUCCCUGUCAUCUUCGGUGUGACCUUAGCGUGUCACUUGACCUCUCAGGUCUCACAUUUAGCAUCCAGACAACUCAGGACUUAAGUUCUCUUACAGCUCUAAAAUUCUGUAUGGGAAUGACAUCAAUAAAGUAAUAUAAUUUUUUGUUCAAACCAGCAAAGAUGUGCAAAUACAAGGGGUAGUGAAUAGCAAUUAUGCCUGGCAUCCAGCAGAACUGUGCUGGGAACCAAGACCUGUGGUUCUGAGGGCUGUCCAGAGAGCGCCACGGCCAUUCGCGUGCUAAACCUUUGCAACCUGAGCCCAGUAACAGGAACACAGAACAUUCUCCAGGAGUCUGGGGCCUUGCCUCCAUUCUCCAGCUGCUCCUCUCCCAUUGUUUUCCCUCUCUACACGACUGCCCUUUCUUGGGCUCCCCAUGCUCUAAGUUAAGUUGGCAGCAUGGCAGAGAUUGAGAGCACAGAUUCUGGUCUCAGACUGCAUGGGCUCAAAUUACAGCUUCAUAAUUUACCACAUGAUCUUGGGCAAGUUACUUAAACUCAAAGAUAGACUUUUCAAACAUUUUUUCACUGCAAUCCACAGUAAGAAAUAUAUUUAACAUAAAUAAUACUCUACGUGUGUGCACACACACACACAUACUCACAUAAAUUAAAAGAUUAAUAAAAAAUAAUUAUUUUUGAUAUUUUGUGAGCACCAUUUGAUUGGUCCUAUUCUAUGUAAAUUUCUAUAAAUGCUAGUCAUAAUCCAGCAAAUUGAUUUCAUGGUCUACUAAUGGUUUCAGACCCACAAUUUGAAAAACCCUGUUCUAAGCUUUAGUUUUCUCAUCUGUAAAAUGAAGAUAAUAUAAAUAAUAUCCUCUCUGUGGAGUUGUUAUGAAGAUGACUAAAAUGUUCAUAUAAAAGCGUUUGGCCACAGUGCAGGGUGGCUCACGCCUGUAAUCCCAGCACUUCGGGAAGUCAAGGCAGGCAGAUCACAUGAGGCCAGUAGCUCAAGACCAGCCUAGUCAACAUGUUGAAACCCUGUCUCUACAAAAAGUACAAAAAUUAGCCCAGCAUGGUGGUGCACACCUGUAGUCCCAGCUACUCAGGAGGCUGAGGCAGGAGAAUCACUUGAACCCGGGAGGUGGAGGUUGCAGUGAGCCAAGAUGGCACCACUGCAUUCCAUCCUGGGCAACAGAGUGAGACUCUGUGUCAAAAACAAACAAACAAACAAACAAAAGGUUUAGCUUGGAAGGUAAUAAGUGCUCAGUGAAUAUUAGUGUUAUUAUUACUCAAGGAAGGGCAUCAGUGUGAAAUAAAUCUUAUACUUCAAGUCCAAAAGGGAAGCUCCCAGUAAUCAUGCCCUUCAUGAACCUGUACAUGAAUCAAAUGGCUUUUCCCAUUGGGCAUGCAUGCCAUGCCAUCAAGCAAGUCAGAAUUUAAGCUUCUGUGCAGGUCAGUGAAGACAUGGUGCUUGCCACUGCAGCAGCAGCCAUCUUGCACACAUGAGGUGCCACACCUGAGGAAGGAAGAACAAAGCAAUGGAAAGACCAGUGUUUUGGUAUUACUGAGUUGCUGAACCAAUCCUGGAACUGGAUCUCAGGCUUUUUAUUUAAAUCAAUAAAAUCUCCUGAUGUUUAAAAGGCAAUUUUAUGCAAACCAGCUCAUUACCUCCUACAGUGUCCCUUCCCUCACCAACAGGAAGUGGCUCCACAUUUCAAUUGCCUUUUUGCCCUUGAGAAUCAGCAUUCCCUAAACCACCACUAUUAAAUUUGGGACUCUGAAACCACAGAAAUACCCUACAGUAGGAAAUCCCCCUUGGGUGCCUAGACUCUCUAUCACCUUUGCAAAGCUUUUAAGUAAAAAAGGAAAACCUCAGGCUUCCCACUUAGCCAUGGAAAGUGGUACCACCUUCAGAGGAAAGAUGGGGGAUUCAGGAGCACCACCUCCAAUUUUAGGAGGUGCCCCUGAUUUCCUCAAAUACUGACAGGUAAUUUAACCUAAACAAUGGAGAGGAGCCCUGCUUCAAGAUGCAGUGCUAGGCUCACCCUGACCAGCACUUGGUAGAUAAGAAAGAGAAAACAACUUACAAAUUCUUCAGUGAUGCUUGGCUCAGUACUUAGCUCGCUGGCUGGCUGACUUUGCAACUACUUCUAGUUAAGGGUUCCAAAGGACUGGAAGGUAAAUAACCAGCAAGGUGUCGUAACACUGAGACAGAGUGAAAUAUUAUUUCCACCCUCUCGUGACCUCGGUGGCCAUUUUCCAGCUCUAGGGCCAGUCUGCACAUGACGAUGAGUGGUAUCUGAUGGCUGGUCCUGGCAUGAAGUGUGAGGGAAUGCCAGUUUAGGACUUGAACCUUCCAUCUCCCACUGAUUCCAGUCAGAGUAAUCCAAACCUAGUCUGUCUUUUCUUUCCCUUAUGCUGCAAACUUUCCCCUGUUUUAGUCAAAAUACACCAGCUUAGUAAUUCUGGCUGCCACAGACUGAAUUUUGAGCCUCACCAGUUUCCAAAUAAUUAAGACAGAGAAAGUGAGUUAAAUAAAAUAUGGCCAGAUUAAAUAAACAAUUCGGUACUUUAGGAGAAGAAUUCAGGCUGGGUCUAAGAUAGGCGCCUAGCGCAGGGCUCUGCAGCAGACAUAAGGAAGUCUUAAGUUGGUUUUCAAUAGGUGUACCUAAGGGUGCAUUUGAUAACAACAACAAAAAGAGAGAUGGAAGCAAAUAUUUAACAAGCACCUAUUAUCUAUCAGGCACUACAUAUACAUUCUCUCAUUUUCUUCUUACAAAGUACACGUAUCCUAGCAAUUAUUUCCAUUUUAAAAAACUGAAAAUGAAAAAUUACUUGCUCAAGAUCAUAAAGCAAGUAAACAUUAGAAUUAGGAUUUAACCCUAGGCCCUUCUUGUGCAGGAGUCAUGCUCUUUCAAGCACACUGUGCUGUCCCCCGGGAAGAGUGAGGGUUAUCAGGAAAAGCAGUGGAAUGGCAGAAAAGAAGAAGGGGAAGGAUUUUAAAACAGGGAAAAGAAAGGACAGAAAUACAUAAAAAUAAGAAAUGGGAACAGGAAGGACUGCAAAGAUUAAGGAAGAACGGUUGGUGAGUACCUUGGCUAUUUAGUGGAAUUUGGUGAUUCAGAACUGGGAAUGGACAGUAAGCCCCUUCAAAUACCCUGGGGAAGCCAAGAUUGUCAUGGAGCUGUUCUUUUCUCUAUCUCAAGUACAAAUGUCUCAAAGAACUCUAAAAGCUACUUAAAGCAAGAGCAAGGAACUCAAACUAAGUUCUUAUUGAGUGGUGGCCAAAAAACAAGCUGGACGAGUUUCCAGAUGAUACUGCCGGGAUGAUUCUUUUAGCUGACAGUUACCAAAAAGGAAGGCUUUCAGGACAUGUCAAUAGCAGAUCUUACGCCUUCUCUGACCUCGGCCUUCCUCAGAGUCUUUUAGCUGUAAUGAGCAAAUAUUAGCAUAAGAGACAGGGACCAAAUAUUUGUUUAGUGUCUGUGUUGAUUAUUAAGCUGUUGCCUGUAAACUCCACACUCACCCUUCAUUCUCAGCUUUGUGUUGCUGGGGCUGGGCCUCUGUAAUCACAUUUCAGCUUUGCCAGAGGGAUUUCUCUUAGGCUGCCAGUAGUGGGGCACUAGAGGGAGUCUGGAGGCAGUGGGGAAGAAGGGAUUUGUUCCUUCUGUUUUUUUGCUGGUCCUGUCAGUAUCAUCCCAGCAGCCCUUAGCUCCAGUUUGCAGUUAUUUUCCUCACUACAAGAACACACUCCCUCAGUGAUAGCGUCUGUCAACCAGAACCUCCUCCCCAGAUAUUGAGUCCCUGUUUUGAGGGUCCCUGCUCUGAGUCUCCAACGCACCUGCCUCCACCAGGCAGCACCCCUCCCUCCUGGUCCAGUUUCCAGCUCUGCAGGGCCCUCCUCCAAGCUUCCAGAUCCCAGGCACCUGACGCAUCCCUUUUGUUCUCUCAGCCCUAGGGGUAGCGAUUGCUUCCUGCAGUUGCUAGCUCCGUGACCCUCCAGUGGUCCUCCUCCUCACUUUCAGUGCUUCAAUUCCUUAUAUUAAGUAUUCUUUAUUAGGAAAACUGAUGGGUGUCUGUUUUCUGGACUGGCCUUUACCUGAUUUGUUAUCACUUCUGUCUACGUCCAGGACAAUAUUGAGCAAUAUUCUGAGGCUAUACUGUGUUAAAAGGAAACUUCAGACAAAUUAAAUUUAACAGAGUUUAACUGAGCAAGAAAAAAAAAUUCAUAAAUUGGGCAGCCUCCAGAAUCACAACAGAUUCAGAGAGAGUCCAGGGAUGCCUUAUGGUCAGAACAAAUUUAUAGACAACAAAAGGGAAGUGACGUGCAGAAAUCAGAAGUGAGGUACAGAAACAGCUGGACUGAUUACAGCUCAACAUUUGCCUUUUUUGAACAAAUCUGAACACUCAGCAGUGUAUGAGUGGUUGACGUAUGGCUGCUGUGAUUGGCCAGACCUCAGCUAUUGUUACAGGCACAUACUCUUAAGUCAGGUUUUCAAUCCUAUCUGACUAUAAAGUUAGGUUACAGUUUGUCCUCAUGGACUCAAAUUUAGAAGUAUGGCGUCCUUCUCAGGCCAUAUUUAGUUCAGUUUAACAAGUGCAUAUGGCUUCUGACAAAGGUGUGGCCCCUUUAGGACUCCAAAGACGCUGUCACUUACAUGGUAUUCAGGGAGGACACAGAGGAUCUGUGAGCAGCCUGCAGCCAAGCUUUGAGAUCAUAUUGAGAUUUUUUUGUAAUAUAUGAGGAGUGUUCUGGCUCCUUUUAUUACUUUCUUCAUAGCAAAAAUUGGGGGUCCAAGUUGUCGUUAAAUUGAAACUCUCUCACUUACCCUGAAAAAGAUUUGACUGUGAGCAUAACAUUGUUACUUCAUUCAAGACAUGGAAGCAAAAGGGUUAAUUAGUGCUGCUCACAAAAUAGUUCUACUUUUUCUUCUUCCAAUUAUAUGAUUGGAUAACCCUUCCCUCCCUUGAAGUCAGGGUUGCCAUGUGGCUUACUUUGGUCAAUAGAAUAUGAUUGAGAGCAAUACUGUGGUACAUCCAUACAGUGGAAUAUUAUCCAGUGAUAAAAAAAAAAAAAAAAAGGAAAGAAAGAAAGCCACAAAAAGACAUGGAAGAGAGCCAAGCGCAGCGGCUCAUGCAUGUAAUCCCAGCACUUUGCGAGGCUGAAGUGAGUGGAUCACUUGAGCUCAGGAGUUCAAGACCAGCCUGAGCAACAUGGCAAAACCCCAUCUCUAAAAAAAAAUACAAAAAAAUUUUAGCUCAGUGUGACUCUGUGUGCCUGUAGUCCCAGCUACUGGGGAGGCUAAGGUGGAAGGAUCACUUGAGCUCAGGAGGUCAAGGCUGCACAAAGCUGCAAUGAGCAGAAAUCAUGCUUGGGCAACAGAGAGAGACCCUGUCUCAAAAUAUGUUAAUGAGAGAGAACUCUGGGCAAGGGGGUGGAGGGGCAGAGGAGGAGUGUGGGGAAGGGGAAGGAGUGCAUACCUGGAAACUCUACUUUCUGCAUAAUUUUUCUAUAAACCUGAAAUUGCUCUAAAAAGUAAAGUCUAUUUAAAAAUAAUAAAUAAGAAAGAAAUAUGAAUAUCACUUGUGUCACUUUUGUGUCAAAGCAUUAACGGCCAGCACAUGAUUUGCCUUGCCACUCCCUUCCUCUUGGUCUGUAGUCCAAUGCUCUACCUCUGAGCUAUACCCCUUCCUUGCCACUCCCUUCCUAAAGAUAAGCCUCCCUCAUUGGAUUAGAAUUCUCCGGAGAGACAGAGACAAUAAGAUAUAUAUAGAGAGAGAUGGAGAGAUAGAGAUAGGAAUUAUCACAGGAUUAUGGAGGCUGAGAAGUCCCGCAAUAAGCCAUCUAUAAGCUAGAGAACCAGGGAAGCCAGUAAUAUGAGUCAGUCUAAGCCUUAAGGCUUCAAAACCAGAGAUGUCAAUAGCAUAACUUUCACCACAAGACUGAAGGUCACAAGGCUGAAUGCCUGAGAAACUGGGGGGUCACUAAUCCAAGCCCCAGAUUCGAAAGGCUGGAUAGAGAACCUGGGGUUCUGAUGUCCAAGGGCAGGAGAAUAAGGGUGUCCCAGCUCCAGAAGGGAGUGAGCAAAUUCACCUUUCCUCUGGCUUUUUGUUCUAGUAGGACCUGAGCCAUAUGGACGAUGCCUGUCCACAUUGGGUGAGGCCACAUCUUCCUCACUCAGUCCACUGAUUCAAAUGCCAAUCUCUUUUGGAAACACCCUUAUAGACAUGCCCAGAAGUAAUGCUUUAUCAGCUAUCUGGGUACCACUUAAUCUGGUCAAGUUGACACCUAAAAUUAAUUAUCAUCACAACUCAUUCUGGUUCUGUUAGUGAGAAUAAUCAAGAAUGCAUCCCUAGCUCGUCACUUCCAAUGAGCCAGUCUUCAGUGGACAUGCACCCUGAGUGGAAAAAAAGUAAAAACUGUUUCUAUUGUUGUUUUAAACAACUUAGAUUCAGAGAUUAUUUGUUAUUGCAGGAUAACCUAGCUUAUCCUGACUAAUACAGAGAGAGGAAGUCCUCCUUUAAUCUCCAACAGAAAUAUUAAACAGCAAUCAAUCACACAAUAUUGGUUAAAAAAACAAAGAUAAUAAUCAUUGUUAUUAUUUUCAUUAUUUCUGGAAAUAAAUUUAAAACUAUUGAAAAAACUUACUUUUAAAAUUCUCAACAUCACUAAUCAUCCAGGAAAUGCAAAUCAAAACCACAAUGAGAUGUCAUCUCACCUCAGUUAAAGUGGCUAUUAUCAAAAAGACAGAACAUAGCAGUUGCUGAUGAGGAUACAGAGAAGGGGAAGUUCUCCUACACUGUUCAUGGGAAUGUAGAUUAGUAUGGAAGUCCAUCAGAAAACUAAAAAUAGAACUACCAUAUGAUCCAGCAAUCCUACUGCUAGGGAUGUAACCAAAAGAAAGGCAAUCAGCAUAUAAAAGAGAUAUCUGCACCUCUUUGUUUAUUGCAGCACUAUUCACAAUAGCCAGAUUAUAGAAUCAACAUAUGUGCCCAUCAACAGAUGAAUGGACAAAGAAAAUGUGGUAUAUAUUCACAAUGGAAUAUUCAUUCAUAAAAAAAUUAAAAUCCCAUCAUUUGAAGCAACAUGGAUGUAACUGGAGGAUAUGAUGUUAAAUGAAAUAAGCCAUGCACAGAAAGACAAAUAUCACAUGUUCUCACUCAUAUGUGGGAGCUAAAAAGGCUAAACUUAUGGAGGUGGGGAGUAGAAUGGUGAUUACCAGAGGUUGGGAAGUGUUGAAGUCAGAGAGGAAGAGAACUUGGUUAAUGGGUACAAAAAUACAGUUAGAAAGAAGGAAUAAGUUCUAGUGUUCACAGUAGAACAAACAUAAUUA
rnacentral:lncRNA from 1 species